ACUAAUUUUUUCCAAAUGUAAGGUCUCCGACAUCUCCAUAAUCCACAUCUUGAUUGUGGGGGUUGUUGGGUUUUUCCAAAAUUUUAAUAUCAGUUUUUUCCCAGUUAUACUGUAAUCAAGGACAUUUAUUUGGUUUAUUGUGAAAGAAGAAACUGCAGAUGCUGG